rnacentral:rRNA from 1 species
GGAUAACCUGCCCUUGAGACGGGGAUAAACCCGGGAAACUGGGUAUAAUACCCGAUAGAUCUCGGCUGCUGGAAUGCACCGAGUUCUAAAGCUCCGGCGCUCAAGGAUGGAUCUGCGGCCUAUCAGGUAGUAGUGGGUGUAGCGUACCUACUAGCCUACGACGGGUACGGGUUGUGAGAGCAAGAGCCCGGAGAUGGAUUCUGAGACACGAAUCCAGGCCCUACGGGGUGCAGCAGGCGCGAAAACUUUACAAUGCUGGAAACAGCGAUAAGGGGACCUCGAGUGCCAGGUUACAAAUCUGGCUGUCGUGAUGCCUAAAAAGCAUUGCAUAGCAAGGGCCGGGCGAGACCGGUGCCAGCCGCCGCGGUAACACCGGCGGCUCGAGUGGUAACCGUUAUUAUUGGGUCUAAAGGGUCUGUAGCCGGCCGGAUAAGUCUCUUGGGAAAUCUGGCAGCUUAACUGUCAGGCUUUCAGGAGAUACUGUCUGGCUCGAGGCCGGGAGAGGUGAGAGGUACUUCAGGGGUAGGGGUGAAAUCUUGUAAUCCUUGAAGGACCACCAGUGGCGAAGGCGUCUCACCAGAACGGACCUGACGGCAAGGGACGAAAGCUAGGGGCACGAACCGGAUUAGAUACCCGGGUAGUCCUAGUCGUACACGAUACUCGCUAGGUGUCGGCCACGAUGCGACCGUUGUCGGUGCCGUAUGGAAGCCGUGAAGCGAGCCACCUGGGAAGUACGGCCGC